GGAUGCGAUCAUACCAGCACUAAAGCACCGGAUCCCAUCAGAACUCCGAAGUUAAGCGUGCUUGGGCGAGAGUAGUACAAGGAUGGGUGACCUCCUGAGAAGUCCUCGUGUUGCAUUCC
rnacentral:rRNA from 1 species